rnacentral:rRNA from 1 species
UCCAGACUCCUACGGGAGGCAGCAGUGGGGGAUAUUGCACAAUGGGGGAAACCCUGAUGCAGCGACGCCGCGUGAGUGAAGAAGUAUUUCGGUAUGUAAAGCUCUAUCAGCAGGGAAGAAAAAAGACGGUACCUGACUAAGAAGCCCCGGCUAACUACGUGCCAGCAGCCGCGGUAAUACGUAGGGGGCAAGCGUUAUCCGGAUUUACUGGGUGUAAAGGGAGCGUAGACGGCAAUACAAGUCGGAAGUGAAAUACCCGGGCUUAACCUGGGAACUGCUUUGGAAACUGUAUGGCUGGAGUGCUGGAGAGGUAAGCGGAAUUCCUAGUGUAGCGGUGAAGUGCGUAGAUAUUAGGAGGAACACCAGUGGCGAAGGCGGCUUACUGGACAGUAACUGACGUUGAGGCUCGAAAGCGUGGGGAGCAAACAGGAUUAGAUACCCCAGUAC